AACGAACGCUGGCGGCAUGCCUAACACAUGCAAGUCGAACGAGACCUUCGGGUCUAGUGGCGCACGGGUGCGUAACGCGUGGGAACCUGCCCUUAGGUUCGGAAUAACUCCCCGAAAGGGGUGCUAAUACCGGCUCAUGUCUUCGGACCAACGAUUUAUCGCCUUUGGAUGGGCCCGCGUUGGAUUAGCUAGUUGGUAGGGUAAAAGCCUACCAAGGCCACGAUCCAUAGCUGGUCUGAGAGGAUGAUCAGCCACACUGGGACUGAGACACGGCCCAGACACCUACGGCAGGCAGCAGUGCCGAAUAUUGCCCGCUGGGCGAGAUCCUUGGCCAGCAAUGCCGCGUGAGUGGUGAAGGCCUGAUGGUUGUAGAGCUCGUGUACCCGUGAUCAUCAUGACAGUAUCGGGGGAAUAAUCCCCGGCUAACCCCGUG
rnacentral:rRNA from 1 species